GGCCAGCAUGGUGUAGUGGUUUGAGUAUUGGACUAUGACUCUGGAAAGCAGGGUUUGAAUCCCUGCUUGGCCA
rnacentral:tRNA from 1 species